CAAAAAGCAUGAUACUCACAACAUUGUAAAUGUAUACUUCUUUGACAAGAGUCACAUAAAUCUGGUGCUUUCUACAUUUAUUCUAUAACCCAGAGAUUAUAAUAUAAUCAUCAAGUUACUUUAGAAGGAAACUGAAAUAGGAGGUUUACUUCUAUUAUUUCUGAAUGCUUUUAAUGGGCUAACAUCUUGCAAGAAAAACGCCUACUAGCAAACACAGAGACUAGCAAAUAUAUCAACAGUACUGAGGACACAUCAGAGAAAUUAUAUGAACAAUUACUAACUACAAAAAAGAUGAGUAAGCUGGGUGUAUUGGCUCAUGCAUUUAAUCCCAGCAUUCAGAAGGCAGAAGCAAGAAUAUGUGCAUCUGAGUUGAAAGCUAGCCUAGUCUAUGCAUUCAGUUCAGGACAGUAAGAAGUAAAUAUUAAGAACCUGUCUGCACUGCAAACAUCAAUCAGACAUACAAGAAAGAUAGGAUGAACUCAGGCAUUAACUUCAGUUCUGUAUUCAUCUUCCAGAAACCUGAAUUGCUCCAGUUUAAAUUGUACUUUAAUAAAUCUUACUAAAGGGAACUGUGCAUUCAAACAGUUACACAUAGUCAGAUGAUAGCAUUAGCAAUAUCAAUGUUGAUCAUAAAUAAUCAACACAGGGCAGGAGAGAUGGCAGAGAAGUUAAGAGCUCUUGCUGGUCUUGUAUAUAGAUGGGCUCAAUUGCCAGUACUUACAUGGGGGAAUCCCACAACUGUUCAUAUACCAAGUUCAUGGGUACAAAGACCAUCUUUUGACUACUGUGAGGACCAGGCAUAUGUGUAGUGCAUAUCCAUGUAUACAGGCAAAAGAAUCAUAUUCAUAAAAAAAAUCAAAACAAACACAACAAGCAGGAAGAAUGUCACACACCUGUAAUCUAAAUGACUCAGAAGGCCCAGGCAGUAUUAAUGUCAUGAAUACUGUAUCCUGGGAAAGCGAAUGAUAUCCUAAUUUCAAAAUUCAAGCUGGGGGUAAAGCUCAGUAAAACAGCAUAUGCUUGACGUGUACAAAAACAUAUACUCUAGGCCCAUCACCCAAUAACAGAUAUGAAAAAACCUGAAAUGUGGGUCAACCUUUAAUCUCAGUAUGUGGGAUAAGGAGUCAGGUUAAUCUCUGAGUUCAAGGCCAGCCUGGUCUACAGAGCUACUUUUAGGACAGAAGGAUUACUCAGCCAAAGCUUGUAUUUAGGACAGAAGGAUUACUCAGCCAACAUAGUAGAAACAUAGAAAAGGAAAUAGGUUAAGGCUAUAGAGACACAUAUCACACCCCCCAGUGAGAAAUUUCUUCCAGAGAGAUUCCUCCUACUAAAGGUUCCACAAGCAUCCCAAAUAAGAUGCCAAGGAGAGACAAAUGUUCAAAUACCUCAUCCUAUCUGGGAACUUUUCAUUCAGUUGACUACAUUCUGACCCAGGUUACUAUAGGCUCAUGAUCAUCCAUGUAGAAAAUGUACUUAGUCACCUCAAUGAUCCUCAUAGUCUGCAAGAACCCCCUACACUGUCCAAAUGUCCAAAGUAUCUUUUGACACUCAAGACAAAUUCUUCACUGUGUCAUCUUAUAAAAUCAGAAAACAAGUUAAAUCUUUCCAACAUACAAACAGCACAGAAAACCCAUUCCCAUUCCAAAGGAGAGGAAUUGAGACAUAGUGAAGAAAGGUUGGACAAAGGGAAGACUGAAACCCAGCAGGGCAACCAUCAAAUCUAGUAGUCAUGUGUCAGAUGGGGCUUCAUUUUCAAAGGGCUUAGAUGGCUCUCUCCCCACAAUUUCCCAUACAUCUUUCUCUUUGGUUACUUCUACUCCAUAUAUGCAGCUUUCCAUGGAAGAUGUCUCAUAGCUUAAGUAUCUCAGCAUCUUGUGUUCUCAAAAUACAACCCAGGCUUCAUCCUCAUAGCAUCAUGCAAUAAACUCUCACAGUCUUCUCACUGGAGCUCUUACCAUACCAAACACAGAUGCCUACAACAGUGCUGGACUGAAAACAUAGACUAAGAAUGAAUGAUUUUAAAUUUUGUAUCAUUCUGGUUUCCAGAACCAGUUCAACAUUAAUGAUUCCCCCAAAUUUGGCUUCUAAGAUGUGAAUGACCCCUGUCAUGCUUGGACCAGAAUUGCAGCAGGCUUUGUAUGAAGUUGCUUCCUGGGACUGGAAAUCACUUUGCCUAAUCCCUCCGUUAACUGAGGUAUAGAAGGAUGGAUUCUUAUACUUAGGGCACCUUGCUAGGCUUCCAAUGUAGAGUAAGGGCCUUCUUUUUAAUGGUGACAAUCCCCCUGAAAAUUCCUGCCUCUGUUCUGCAUUUGACUGCCAUCUGAAAAUACAUAAUGUUUUUCUCUACAACCCAUAGACUUUUCAUUUUUUAUGAUCAACUUAUUGAUUUUUUUCCACUAUAGUCUUGAAUGAAUAAGUAAUAGCCAUCCAAGAGAUUCAAUGUUCCAUCUAAGAAAUCAGCCCCAUUAUUUUUUUAAUUCUGCCUUACUCAAUUUCUUGGGGGCAUGGGCAUAAUAAGAAAGAUUAGGGGCCAAAGUACCACACAAAUGAGUUCUAUUUUAAUUCUGAAUGAAAUCCUGUGACCUCUACCUCCACUGUUUGCAGUACCCUCAACAGUACUUUAUUCCAAAUCCUACAAGAAUAACCAGUUAAGCUCUGUGUGCAGCUUUCUAUGUCCUUUGCCGUCUAAAUCUUGAUAACCCCAACAUUCCUCCAAAAGUCAUCAUUUCCAGGUUCUUUGCAGUAACAAAAUCACUUUUGGUGUACCACAUUCUGUUAUAACUUGCUUUUUUCUUGCUCUGAUUAAAUUCUCUAAACAAAAGCACCUCAGGUAAUGAAUGUGUUUUUUGGCUGAUUCUGCCAGAUCACAAUCCAUCAUUUUGGGAGCUUAGGACAGAAAUUCAAUCUAGCAACUGAAGGCAAAACCAUGAGGAAUCUUUGUUUCUAGGCUUUCUCUCUGACAUGGUCAUUGUCUCAUGCCCAGGUUGCUAUCUUAUCUAGUGCAGGACAACUUUCUUAGGGAUAUUGUAUACUCAGUGCAAGAUCUGUCACCCAUCAAUCAUCAAUUAUCAAAAUCUCUCAAAGACUUAUCCAUGGUGACUGUGGGCUCUGAAAUGUUGACAUCUGGAAUUAACUAGGACACAGAGACAAUAAUAUAUGAGAAGAUUUUACAAACCAACAACCAAUGUAUCAACUACAUCAGUAACAUAAAUUGCAAAAAUAUAAACAUUGAUGAUAAUAACAACUGGAAACACAGAUAUGCCAAGAAAUGAGGAAAUACAGGCUUCUAAGAUCAAGAAGAGAAAACUAAAAUUGUUUCUCCACAGAAAAUCUCCAAACCAAGAAACUCAAGGAACUCCUAACAUAAUAUAGUAAUUUACCAGAAAAUAAAAAUAGGUGAAGGCUCAUCAUUUUCCAGAGAAACAAUAUAAUUAGAUUAUAACUAAUAAAAAAAAUCAAACAAUAUAGGUGGUACCACUGAUAAAAGGAGACAGAAAGACAGACCUACAAAUAUAGCAUUGUCUCUUAAACAAGAACUAUAAGAUUCUAAUGAAAAUCAAUAUCAUAGAAAUCACUGACCACCACUCACCCUGUGCACUCCAGUUCUCUCCUUUGCCAAUAAUAAAAAAUGAGUUGGGUGAGGAGGACUGUCCCACCAAAAUUGGAUAGGUUCACUUGAAUACUUCCAUUGUAGAAAUUUCUACACUGUAGAAAAUAGUUUUAGCUACUAAUACUAUGUCAUUCUCCUUUAAUAAAGAAUAGGAUGUUUGUUAAAUCAUUUAGAAAUAAUUUUGUUGCCUAUGAUUGAAGAUUAAAUGUAUGUCUCCAUCAGAGGAAAUGAAAAAUUUUCAAACAAAAUGAAAGAUAAUAGUUUUUAAAAUAAAUAUUGUAUGAUUUGUAUUAUAUACCUAAAGCAACCUGAUUUCCUCUAAUUACUUUAUAAGUCAUAAGGGCUUUUGAAAACAAGUUUAGCUCCAUUUUUAUGUGUAUAUUUGUAUGAGUGAGACAGAAUGUUUUCCAUGUGUGUAUAGGUGACACACUCUUUGGCAUACUCUUUGUAUGCCAGAUCCCCUGGAUCAAGAACAGCAGGUGAUUAGAAGCCUCCCAACUUGUGUGCUAGUAUCUGACCUCUCCCAAGAAGAAUACUUAUUGAGUGACAUGCGCAGUCCACAUAGUACUUUUUAUCCAAUAAACUAAAAGUCUUUCACAGAUUAACCACAAAAGAAAUCUAAAUAAAGAAAUAAGUAAAUAAAUGAUCUCUGGGAACCUAAUGAAUCAGUAUUAUGAUGUUGGGUAUGGGACCAGGUAGGCUACCCACAGACCUUCCCCACUCUCUGUUACCCAAGACCCAAUACUCAAGGUUGCCCCUAGGGCUGAAAGAGAACUCCAGCUGCAGUUACUCCUCUCUCUUUCCAUGUCUCCUGUAGAUUCCAAGGACCAUCCCCACCUACUCUUCCCUACUCACCUCAUAUCUGAGUCCUAUCUCCUAACUGGGGUAGACACUCCCUGCACAAUUACUUGCCACACUUUCCAGAAGACUAGUUAGGAUGUCUGCAGAUCUACCACAUUGUCUCUUACCCCAGACCUGAUUUUAAAAGUUGCCCCUAUCACUGGAGUAGAAAACCAGAGGCAGCUUCCUUUCUUCCCUCUCCAUGCCUCCUAAGGAUCCCUAAGAUCCUCUCUCCCACCUUCCUCUUCCCCCAGUUUUCAACACCACCAAGCAUUUGCCCUUGAACACACCAGCCAAGAAGAACAGGAACACUCAAUCAACACAUACUCUGAAACUCCAGAGAACAAAAAGAAACCAGGAAACAAAACUCUCGUCCAACCAGCACCUAGAACUAGCAUCACCCCAAACCCAGAUGCUGAGCAUAGGAACAUUAUAACAGUCAGGGCAAUAUGUCACACCCAGAAGUCAGCUAUACUAUCACAGCAAGCCCUGAGUAUUCUAACAUGGCUGAAAUACAAGAAAAAGACCUUAAAACAAACUACAUGGAGAUGAUAGAGGGCCUUAAAAAGAAAACAAAUAAAUUCCCUUAAAUAAAUUCAUGAAAGCACAAACAAACAAUUGGAGGGAAUCAAUAAAUUCUUCCAAGAAAGCUAGGAAAACACAAACAAUUAGAGUAAACCAAUAAGCAAUUAAAAUAAAGCCAAAAUAAAACAAAUAGUUGAAGGACACAAAUAAAACUGUUUAAGACCUGAAAAUGGAAAUAGAAACAAUAAAGAAAACAGAAACUGAGGGAAUUCCAGAAAUGAAAAAUUUAGGACUAUAAACAGGAAGUACAGUGGCAAGGCUCACCAAUAGAAUAGAGAGAGAUGGAAUAGAGAACCUCAGGUACAGGAGAUAUAAUAGAAGAAAUGAUACAUCAGUUAAGGAAAAUGUUAAAUAUAAAAAUUUCCUGAUACAAAACAACCGGGAAAUCUGGAACAUUAUGCAGAGACCAAACCUAUGAAUGUCAGGAAUAGAGGAAAGAGAAAAAACCCAGCUCCAAUGUCCAGAAAAUAUUUUCAAUAAAAUUUUAUAAUAAAUUUUUCCUAAUUUAAAGGAGGUGCUGAUGAAGGUACAAAGAAGCAAGUAAAACAUCAAAUAGAUUGGGCCAGAAAAGAAAGUCCCCUUGUCACAUAGUAAUCAAAUCACUAAACAUAUGGAAAAAGAAAGAAUAUUAAAAGCUGCAAAGGAAAAAGACUAAGUAACAUAUAAAGGCAGACCUGUGAGAAUUACACCUCACUUCUCAGUGGAGAUUCUAAAAGCCAUAAGGGCUUGGACACAUGUAACCAUAGAUGCCAGUCCAGAUUACUAUCUCCAGAAAAUUUUCAAUCACUAUAAAUGGGGAAAAUAAGAUAUUCCACGAUAAAGUCAAAUUCAAAUAGUAUCUACAUACAAAUCCAGCCCGACAGAAGGUACUAAAAGGAAUAAUCCAACCCAAGGAAGCUAACUACACACAUGAAAACACAGUAAAUAAAUAUCACAUCAGUAAAACCAAAAGAAGGGAAACACAUACACACAAACACAAGCAAACAUACUCUCAUACACAUACCACCACCACCACCACUAAUAACAACAACAAAAUAACAGGAAUUAAUAAUCAUUAUUCCUGAUAUCUCUCAAUAGCAAUGGCCAUAAUUCCCCAAUGAAGACACAAAUUAACACUAUGGAUUCAAAAACAAUAUCCAUUUUUCCACUGCAUAAAAGAAACACACUUCAACGUCAAGGAUAGAGAUUACUAAAAGGUGAAGGCUGGGAAAAACACAUUUAAAGCAAUUGGCACUAAGAAGCAGGCUUCUGUAGCCAUUUUAUUAUCUACAAAAAUAGACUUCAAACAAAAAUUAAUCAAAAGAGAUGGGGAAGAACACUCUUUAUUCAUCAAAGAAAACUCCACCAAUAUGACAUUUCAAUUAUUAAUAUCUAUGUCCCAAAUACAAGGUCACUCACCUUUUUAAAAGAAAUACUUGUACAAAUUAAAUGACACAAUGAGUCUCACACAGUGUUUGAUAGUGGUAGACUUCAAUACCCCAUCUUCACCAAUGGAGAGGUUAUCCAGAUGAAAACCAAAUGGAGAAAUAUUGGAGCUAACAGAAUUUAUAAGGCAAAUGAACCUAACAGAUAUUGCAGAACAUUCCACCCAAAGAAAAAGAAUACACUUUUUUCUCAGUACGACACGGAAUUUUCUCCAAGGAUGAUGACACACUUGACACAAUUCAAGUCAACAGAUACAAGAAAAUUGAAAUAAGUCCUUGCAUCCUAUCAGACCACCAUGGAUUAUAGCUGCAUAUUAAAAAAAAUAUAAAAAAAACCCAGAAAGCUUAAAAACUCAUGGAAACUGAACAACACUCUACUGAAGAAAAUAGGUCAAGGCAGAAAUAAAGAAGGAAAUUAAAGAGUUUCUAGAAUUCAAUGAAAAUAAUUAUACAACAUAUCCAAAUUUAGAGGACACAAUGAAAGGAGUGAUAUGAGGAAACUAUAUAGAAUUGAGUGUCUACAUAAAAGAAGGAAAAAAAAGCCAGGUGGCAGUGGCGCACGCCUUUAAUCCCAGCACUUGGGUGGCAGAUCCAGGUGGAUUUCUAAGUUUGAGACCAGCCUGGUCUACAGAGUGAGAUCCAGGACAGGCACCAAAACUACACAGAGAAACCCUUUCUCACCCCCCCACCAAAAAAAAAAAACCUCAGGAAAAAAAUGAAAAGAUCUCAUACUAGCAACUUAACAGCCCACAUGAAAGCAUGAGAACAAAAAGAAGUAAAUAUACCCCAGAGGAGGAGACAGAAAGAAACUAUCAAGUUGAGGGCUAUAAUUAACAAAAUAGAAACAAAGAAAAAUACAAGGAUUCAAUGAAAGAAAUACAGAGUCAGUUCUUUGAGAAAAUCAACAAGACAGGCAAACUCUUAUCCAAACUACCUAAGAGACACAGAGAGAAUACCCUAAUUAAUAAAAUCAAAAAUGAAAGGGGGCCCAUAACAACAGAGAAUGAGGAAAGUCAGAGAAUCACAAGGAAAUACUUUAAAAACCUGUACUCCACCAAAUUGGAAAUUUUAAAAGAAAUGGAUAAAUUUCUUGGUAGGUACCACUUACCAAAGUUCAAUCAACAUCACACAAACAAUUUAAAUAAACCUAUAGCACCUAGUAAAAUAAAACAAGUCAUUACAAGUCUCCCAUCAACAACAAAAACCAAAGGAAAACAAACCAAACCAACCAACCAACCAACCAACCAACCAACCAACCAACCAACCAAAAAACAAACCAA